rnacentral:lncRNA from 1 species
UAAUAAUUACAAGAAAGCCAAUAGAAUUUAUUUCAAAAUACGGAUCAAAUCCAAUCAAAUUUUGUGUCUUGUCAACAUCAUGAUAUGGCAUGCCAAUCGAUGUAACAUGACAUUAUCUUACACCAUGGGUAAAGCCCAUUUGUCUAUUGGGUAAAACUCGCUUUUUUGUCCAACCUUAAAUCCUACUCCUUACCCUUUUAAGUCUUCUACACCCACACAAAAAUAUACUUCAUCCGUUUCAAUUUAUGUGAACUCAUUUGACAAAGCACGAAGUUUAAGAAAAAAAAGAAGACUUUUAAAUUUGUGGUAUAAAAUAAGAUACAUAUAUUUUAUGUGAUUAUAAAUCAUUGCAUAAAAAUAAAUUAUUUUCAAAUAAAAAAAAUUAUUAUUCUUUUUUGCACGACUUAAAAAGAAAAUAAGUUCACGUAAAUUACAAUACACGCUACACCACACAACCAUCCGAUAUUUUUAAGGGGACAAAACCCUAAAAGUAAAAAACCCCUCGUCUUUCUUUUACGCUCGGCCGCCCCCACCCAUUUUUGGACUCAUUUUUUCUCUCUAACUUGAAAGAACAUCAGCCCUCUCUCCCCCGUUUUUGACGCCGCCGCUGCUAUUACAGGCUAAGCAGGCAGGCCGGCAAGCCACCAUCAUCCUCACUCACCCCUCAUUUUCUCAAGACCCUCAGUCGCCUCUCUCUUGAAAAGCUCUCAAAUCUCUCAUUCUCUGAUAUCUUAGAGAGACUGCUGUCCUUCCUCCACGGCUACUGGCCGGAAUCCAGCGUCACUGGCGAGCCACCGUGGCAGAAGCCACCAUUGCCACCGUUGUAGCCGUCUCUAGCUCCUCCUCGUCCCCGCUGCCUUGCGCUUUGGCCGGAGAAGUUCAGAUCUAGGACCUCAAAGUUUCCGGCGAGCUUCAUUGCACUUUUGAUGGCGCUGCUCCAAUAUAGCACCGGCGAAUGUUAAGUCGUCUAGAGAAACUCCAAAUCCGAUGAGAUCUAAACGGAUCUGACAAAGAGCAUGAACUCCGUAGUUGUCCAGUGUUCGCUGUUGUUCAACGUCGCCGUAAAUUCUGUUGCUUCACUGCUUAAUGACUAUUUUGUGAUAUUGCUCUUGCCUUGAUUGAGCUUCGGCUCCGACACUUGCCGUCCUUGAUAAUAGUGCCUUUGACUCGUGAUACAUAAGAGUUUUGCUGCUCCGGUUACUGUUGUUGGCACGUGACAGAUCUUGUCCUAUUUUGUUUGAAGCCUCAUUUAUCUACUAUGUUGGAAUACUUAUUUUGUGUGAAUAUUUGCCUUUGUUCGAUUGUCGUGUAUUAUUUGGGUUGCAUUGUCUACGUUGGCAGAUGUUGUGCUACAUUAGUUGUCUUGGGCCUAUGCAACAGAUGAUAUCCUUGUCAGAUGUCUUGUUUCAAACUUAGUGCUAUUGUUGCUGGUUUGGCAAAUAUUAGGCCGACGAGAAUAAAAUUUUUGACGCCACGAUGCCCCUAAUAAUCCUCUGAAUCGGGCUCGGACCUAAAAUAACGAGGUGAUGAUAAAUAUCGAAAAAGGAAAAGAUCUUUUAUUACUUUGGUUACACUCCAUUUAUUCAACUAACUCUUUAGAAUAAAUCUUUGGUAAUUCUAAUGUCACGGGUAGGAUUUAUGUGAAUAACUUCUUUCCCUUUGUUCCCCUAUUUGUGAUAAGUUUUUUCUACUUUACUUGAUUAUUCCUUUUAAGUUAUGAUAACUAUUUUUAUUCAAAGAUAAUUCGUUACCUCUAAUUAUAUGUAUUCAACUAGGAUUAAUCUUGUAUAGUUAAAUCACUUAGCUUCAAUUAUAAGUUAAGGUUUUUUUCUUAUACUUUCUUUCGAAUCCAAUUCUUCUAAUUAAACUCCAAAAAGAUUUUCGUUUGUUAAUUUGCUUUGUUUAUUUUAUUAUACAUAUCUUGCCAUAAAUGAAAUAGUUGUACUUCAAAUAUUCAUUCACUACGUGAUAAUUACCUUCACUACUC